CGCGGCCUAUCAGCUUGUUGGUGAGGUUAUGGCUUACCAAGGCGACGACGGGUAGCCGGCCUGAGAGGGUGUCCGGCCACACUGGGACUGAGAUACGGCCCAGACUCCUACGGGAGGCAGCAGUGGGGAAUAUUGCACAAUGGGCGCAAGCCUGAUGCAGCGACGCCGCGUGGGGGAUGACGGCCUUCGGGUUGUAAACCUCUUUCAGUACAGACGAAGCGUAAGUGACGGUAUGUACAGAAGAAGCACCGGCCAACUACGUGCCAGCAGCCGCGGUAAUACGUAGGGUGCGAGCGUUGUCCGGAAUUACUGGGCGUAAAGAGCUCGUAGGUGGUUUGUCGCGUUGUUCGUGAAAACCUGAGGCUUGACCUUGGGCGUGCGGGCGAUACGGGCAGACUGGAGUACUGCAGGGGAGACUGGAAUUCCUGGUGUAGCGGUGGAAUGCGCAGAUAUCAGGAGGAACACCGGUGGCGAAGGCGGGUCUCUGGGCAGUAACUGACGCUGAGGAGCGAAAGCGUGGGGAGCGAACAGGAUUAGAUACCCUGGUAGUCCACGCCGUAAACGGUGGGUACUAGGUGUGGGUUUCCUUCCUUGGGAUCCGUGCCGUAGCUAACGCAUUAAGUACCCCGCCUGGGGAGUACGG
rnacentral:rRNA from 1 species